GACGAACGCUGGCGGCGUGCUUAACACAUGCAAGUCGAACGGAAAGGCCCUGCUUUUGUGGGGUGCUCGAGUGGCGAACGGGUGAGUAACACGUGAGUAACCUGCCCUUGACUUUGGGAUAACGUGAGAAAACUGGUGCUAAUGCCGGAUAGGAGCGCCUGCUGCAAGGUAGGGGUUGGAAAGUUUCGGCGGGUGGGGAUGGACUCGCGGCUUAUCAGCUUGUUGGUGGGGUAGUGGCUUACCAAGGCUUUGGCGGAUAGCCGGCCUGAGAGGGUGACAGGCCCCAUUGGGACUGAGAAACGGGCCAGACUCCUACGGGAGGCAGCAGUGGGGAAUAUUGCACAAUGGGCGGAAGCAGUAUGCAGCAACGCCGCGUGCGGGAUGACGGCCUUCGGGUUGUAACCCGCUUUCGCCUGUGACGAAGCGCGAGUGACGGUAAUGUGUAAAGAAGCACCGGCUAACUACGUG
rnacentral:rRNA from 1 species